rnacentral:rRNA from 1 species
CCUACGGGUGACUGCAGUGGGGAAUAUUGGGCAAUGGGCGCAAGCCUGACCCAGCAACGCCGCGUGAGGGAAGAAGGCUUUCGGGUUGUAAACUUCUUUUGUCAGGGACGAAGCAAGUGACGGUACCUGACGCAUAAGCCACGGCUAACUACGUGCCAGCAGCCGCGGUAAUACGUAGGUGGCAAGCGUUAUCCGGAUUUGCUGGGUGUAAAGGGCGGGUAGGCGGGACUGCAAGUCAGAUGUGAAAACCACGGGCUCAACCUGUGGCCUGCAUUUGAAACUGUAGUUCUUGAGUACUGGAGAGGCAGACGGAAUUCCUAGUGUAGCGGUGAAAUGCGUAGAUAUUAGGAGGAACACCAGUGGCGAAGGCGGUCUGCUGGACAGCAACUGACGCUGAGGCGCGAAAGCGUGGGGAGCAAACAGGAUUAGAUACCCCAGUAGUC